UUUGUGUUAUUUUCCAGCGGGUCCUUUUCGAAACCCAAAGGCUCGUCAUCGUAUAUGGCUUCGAGCCACUGGCCUUGCACUUCGUCUCGAACCUUAUCAUGUGGUUCUGGAUCAAAAUCCUUACCAGGCCUCUCCAAGUGCAUUUCAUUCUUUUUGGCUUCGACAGUCGUGUAUAUAACUUUGGCCUCUAAGGCCGUUUUUAAUUUUUUUUCGGCUAUAUAAGCCUAAAUCCUUUCUAAUGUCUUUGGAUCAG
rnacentral:lncRNA from 1 species